rnacentral:rRNA from 1 species
GAUGAACGCUGGCGGCGUGCCUAAUACAUGCAAGUCGAGCGAAUGGAUUAAGAGCUUGCUCUUAUGAAGUUAGCGGCGGACGGGUGAGUAACACGUGGGUAACCUGCCCAUAAGACUGGGAUAACUCCGGGAAACCGGGGCUAAUACCGGAUAACAUUUUGAACCGCAUGGUUCGAAAUUGGAAGGCGGCUUCGGCUGUCACUUAUGGAUGGACCCGCGUCGCAUGAGCUAGUUGGUGAGGUAACGGCUCACCAAGGCAACGAUGCGUAGCCGCCCUGGGAGGGGGAUCGGCCACACUGGGACUGAGACACGGCCCAGACUCCUACGGGAGGAAGCAGUAGGGAAUCUUCCGCAAUGGACGAAAGUCUGACGGAGCAACGCCGCGUGAGUGAUGAAGGCUUUCGGGUCGUAAAACUCUGUUGUUAGGGAAGAACAAGUGCUAGUUGAAUAAGCUGGCACCUUGACGGUACCUAACCAGAAAGCCACGGCUAACUACGUGCCAGCCGCCGCGGUA